CGGGCGCAGCUGCGCCUGCGUAGGCCAGGCAGGCAGGCAGCACACCGACGGGCGGCAGCGCGCACCGGCGCACGGCGCAUCUGUGCAAGCGGGCAGCGGCCCAGUGCCUCGUGCCUCGGCUCGUCCUCGGCUGCUCGGCAGAUGGCAGGUACCCCCUCUGUCCCGGUUUAAGUGUCGUCCGGGAACAGCGAUUCCCCUCACAGGCAUGGUUUUCUAGCGACGAUUAAAGCGGGACGGAGGGAGUAGGUGAUAGAGGCUGCCCCUCGGUGAUAGAAAGGUAUAUAUGGCAACAACGACCGGAACAUCGACGCACCACCUGGGUUACCCAUACUACAAGCAGCCUGCAGACAAAGUGCAGGAGUGACUAGUUCAGCACCAUGAAUUGGGACGUCCACGCCGUACGGCAGCGGGGGAGGUUUGUUUUGCUCUAGCCAGUGGCUACCCUCUUCUUCCGUUCCACCGCUUCCCAGAUGCCACCUGCCUCCCGCCCGGCUGCACCGGCCGCUCUUCAGGAAGUGUGUCCUUGUCGGUUCUCGCCUGUCAAACGCAGCCACGCAAAACCUUAACAAAGCGACUCCACUAAAAUUCCCAAAAACUCCGCUUUCGGUGGCGUUCUUUAAUAAUCUAUCUGCAAAGGAGCCGCUGGUGAAAAGAUCCGUCAAAAGUUACAAUGGCUUGUGUGGGAAGGGAGAAAAUGAGUCAAGAAUGUAACUAAGUCACAAAUCAUUAGUUUUUUUUACGUCCGUAAUCAUAUACGCGAACUGUUCUGGGUAGAGCAACUCCGGUAAUAGCAUAUGAAUCAGACUC